rnacentral:piRNA from 1 species
UGUGAAGAUGUGCUUGUUGAUAAGCAA